rnacentral:rRNA from 1 species
UACGUAUGGUGCAAGCGUUAUCCGGAUUUACUGGGCGUAAAGGGAGCGCAGGCGGCGCGCCAAGUCUGAUGUGAAACCCCGGGGCUCAACCCCGGGCAUGCAUUGGAAACUGGCGGGCUGGAGUGCCGGAGAGGUAAGCGGAAUUCCUAGUGUAGCGGUGAAAUGCGUAGAUAUUAGGAGGAACACCAGUGGCGAAGGCGGCUUACUGGACGGCAACUGACGCUGAGGCGCGAAAGCGUGGGGAGCAAACAGG